CCUUUUGCCCGCCCGGCACAGUUCCCAGCGGAGCUGGCGGGUGUGAACCAGGCAGUGCGUUCUGGGCGCUGAGCAGUGGGAUUUUCUCCGCGCCGCACUCCUCCCCGGGUGCUGCCCUCAGGGCCCGGGGCCUCAGUCUCGCCGCAGCCUCCGCCCUGUCGGCUCCCCGCCCCUCGGAAGCGCGGACCGCGGUGCCUGAGGCUAGGGAAGAGGCCACCACUCAGGGACGCGCGGGUGCGCCCUAGGGGCAUGUCGGCGCUCCACCGCCAAGGCUGCAGCGGUCCCCGCGAGAUGGCCAGUAACCCAUGUGCCAGGUAGCAUUCUAUGCCGACCUUGAAUAACAACAGGAAGCCACUGAGCAGCAAACUCUUCGGAGAUCAUAAAUUGCUGUUGGAAUAACUUAGAAAAGAAGAAAAAGGAAUUGGAACUAUGGCAAAAGUAAAUAGACCUGGGUCUACCUCCCCUCCAGAUGGAGGAUGGGGCUGGAUGAUCGUGGCUGGCUGUUUCCUUGUUACCAUCUGCACCCGGGC
rnacentral:lncRNA from 1 species